CUGCUCACCAUCUUCUUCCUCAAGAGCUUCUAGAGAUGGUGGUGGUGUGGCAUCUUGAAGAAUUUCCUGGGGAGUUCCACCUUGGAACUUAUCAAACUUGGCAGAUAUUCUUGAAGAGGAAGAAGAUUUGGUGAGGGAAAGUGCACCGCAGCCAUUGAAGAUAGAGUGAGAAGAAGAUAAGGGCAAAUGUGUGGUGGUGGUUGAGUUGGAUACUGAAGAAGAAGAAGAGAGGGAGCUGAAGUGAAACAAGCAGUUUGGGGAUGUGGAGGAAGCCAUCAUCAACUCAGCCACUUACACCAAUUACUUUGUACAAAAGUUGCAGAGAUUUAU
rnacentral:lncRNA from 1 species